UGAGGUGUAGCUCAGUGGUAGGRCACUYGCCUAGUAUGCUUGAGGCCUGGGUUCAAUUCCCAGCACCACAA